UAAGGAAUAUUGGGCAAUGGACGGAAGUCUGACCCAGCCAUCCCGCGUGCAGGAUGACGGCCCUACGGGUUGUAAACUGCUUUUAUAUGAGAAGAAACGCCUGAAUUUAUUCGGGCCUGACGGUAUCUUAUGAAUAAGCACCGGCUAACUCCGUGCCAGCAGCCGCGGUAAUACGGAGGGUGCAAGCGUUAUCCGGAAUCACUGGGUUUGAAGGGUGCGUAGGCGGCAUGAUAAGUCAGAGGUGAAAGUUCCCGGCUCAACCGGGAGACUGCCUUUGAUACUGUUGUGCUUGAAUCAGGUUGAGGUUGGCGGAAUGUGACAUGUAGCGGUGAAAUGCUUAGAUAUGUCAUAGAACACCAAUUGCGAAGGCAGCUGACUGGACCUGUAUUGACGCUGAGGCACGAAAGCGUGGGGAGCAAACAG
rnacentral:rRNA from 1 species